rnacentral:rRNA from 1 species
GCGCAAGCUUGAUCCANCCAUNCCGGCGUGAGUGAUGAAGGCCCUAGGGUUGUAAAGCUCUUUUGUGCGGGAAGAUAAUGACGGUACCGCAAGAAUAAGCCCCGGCUAACUUCGUGCCAGCAGCCGCGGUAAUACGAAGGGGGCUAGCGUUGCUCGGAAUCACUGGGCGUAAAGGGUGCGUAGGCGGGUCUUUAAGUCAGGGGUGAAAUCCUGGAGCUCAACUCCAGAACUGCCUUUGAUACUGAAGAUCUUGAGUUCGGGAGAGGUGAGUGGAACUGCGAGUGUAGAGGUGAAAUUCGUAGAUAUUCGCAAGAACACCAGUGGCGAAGGCGGCUCACUGGCCCGAUACUGACGCUGAGGCACGAAAGCGUGGGGAGCAAACGGGAUUAGAUACCCUGGUAGUCCACGCCGUAAACGAUGAAUGCCAGCCGUUGGUGGGUUUACUCACCAGUGGCGCAGCUAACGCUUUAAGCAUUCCGCCUGGGGAGUACGGUCGCAAGAUUAAUACUCUAAGGAUUUGACGGGGGCCCGCACAAACGGUGGAGCAUGUGGUUUAAUUCGAUCGCCACUCGAAGAACCUUACCCUGGGUUUGACAUGCACGGGAUCUACCAGAGAUGCUAGCGUCCUUCGGACUAGAAGACAGUGAAAAGG